rnacentral:rRNA from 1 species
CAGUCGCCGCGGGAAUACGAAGGGUGCAAGCGUUACUCGGAAUUACUGGGCGUAAAGCGUGCGUAGGUGGUGGUUUAAGUCCGUUGUGAAAGCCCUGGGCUCAACCUGGAAUUGCAGUGGAUACUGGGUCACUAGAGUGUGGUAGAGGAUAGUGGAAUUUCCGGUGUAGCAGUGAAAUGCGUAGAGAUCGGAAGGAACAUCUGUGGCGAAGGCGACUAUCUGGGCCAACACUGACACUGAGGCACGAAAGCGUGGGGAGCAAACAGGAUUAGAUACCCGGGUAGUCCCUGUCUCUUAUACA